rnacentral:sRNA from 1 species
GCUGGGUGUGGUGGCGCAUGCCUGUAAUCCCAGUGGCUCAGGAGGCUGAGACAGGAAGAUCAUGAGUUCAAAGCCAGCCUCAGCAACUCAGUAAGACCUUGUCUCUA